CGCCACUCCCGGAAGUCGGCACCCUCAGAACGCUUUCCUAGCGAGCAUCACGAGUGUGAGAGUUUUGAUGGCAGCUUGUAUACAUCCUGAUGUCAAUGCAAAAUGGAAGUGAAAUCUUCAAAACAACUGGAAGACGAGGUACAGGACUCUCUCCACCUCCUGACUUCAAAUCUCUCUAGCUUUGCAAUCCCACACACUCCCCACCAUGGUGCUGUACCUCACCGCAGGCAGAAGCCCUGGACUGAAAUCUCCCAAUUGGUUGUGACUCAUACAGAUAGAGGGACUGGAAUCCCACCUCUGCAAAUCCAUCCAGCUCAGGCUCUGCAGAACAUCUGGGCUUCCUUGUACUGGCCAUCACUGUACACCUGCAUGUGAUUAGGACUCGGCAGACACCCACAGCCUCACCGAAGUCAGCUCUGGUGACAUAUCCCUGUGGAAAAGCCUCUCCCCAGAUCGCUGAUCCUUCUGACCACAUGAGUGCAGGUUCCAAGGAUACAUGAGCUCCACACAUCUGUGACCACAGCAGUCUCCAUCCUCAGUGGAGCAGCAGCAAGGACACCUUCACCUCAGUCUGCUCGGAAAUGAGCAACACCAAGGGCAGACUGUGCGUAGCAGAGCCAGGGAGGGAACAGAAGUUUGGCCUCCUCAGUGUCGGCCUUUUAGACCUGUUCACAACUGUGUUUGGAAAAUUGGAUAAAACUUCAAAUCUCCUGACAUUCUCCCCACAAAUGCCCCUUCUCCUAUGAAUGUGUAAGCCCUGCACAGCAUGCUGGAUAGCCAUGUGGACAAUGAAGAACUGUGGAAUUUUAACCUAGGAACGUGAUGAACAGUGCAUGACCAGACUUUACACCUUUCCAUGGAAGGGUCAUAGAGCUUCCACAUUUAUUGUACCUGCCAGAGUAUUUAGUGGAGAAGAUAGAUUUUCUCCCAAGGAAAGAAGUUUUCAUUCAAUAAUGAAAUUAAGAGCACAGAGAGAAUCUCGAGAUGUGUCUUUGAUAGAAGGGAAACGUGGCCACAGAGACUUUGAUUAACAUAUUCCAAGAACACUGCAUCCCCUGGGCAGGCGCUGCAAUCACAGACACAAAGUGGGUCACACUGCGAGGGCUUCAUAUCCCCAAAGGCCAUAUUGGUCACCCGUCCUUCAAGAGGGCUGGCUCCGGUCACAACUGCAUCUCUCAAUAAUCAGAAAUAACAAAUGCAGCAGCCUACUUCCCAUGAAGAAAGAAGUGGAUCAGAGCAUACUACAGGACUGUUGGGAGAGGAGCCGAAGCCGCCAAGGAGGUGCUCUCUGGAGGACCAAGCUAGAAAGGCCUUUCAGACUGCUCUAAGGCUAGAUUCUCUUAUAUACAUCAUUGGUCUCAGAAGAAGCUACUCAAUGGUCUUUAUGCCUUGAGCCUUCAGAGGCUGGACCAUGCAACCUCCAGAGCAGAGGACCCAUGCUUUCUGCAGUGAGAUGGGUCCUCCUUGGCAGCCUGGGGUGCAAAAACCAAUUUACUCCUUACAACUAUAUUUUCUGUGACUAUUCACUCCUUAGAAGCUAUCCCACGUGCCGGAGGAAAAAAAAAAAAACCUUUUCCUUAACAUUGUGGCCUCUUCUCCCGUGAGCCCAGGCCGACUCAGUGACCUUAUGUAGUACAUGGCUGUGCAUAGGAUCCUCUGCAAUUUCAUAGUGGUCACAAGGACCCAGGGUAUAGCAGCCCUGUGCUUGGGACUCCUGACCAAUGUUAAGACCAUGGUACUUUAGGAGACCAGGCUCAGCACACACUAGCAGGGCCAGGCCUAUCAUGUAGCUACCCAUUUUGAUACACUCAUUCUGAUGCACAAGUCUUUGCCUUCUGCUCUCCAAAGCAGAGAGGAACUGUAAUAACACACAAGGCUAAACUACCUUGAUAGAGGUCAAAACCUCCAUCCCCAAACACCAGUCAGGAGCAUCUUUAUGAAUAAAAUAUUGAAUCGACUAUCUGUACAAAAUAUUAAAGUGGUGAAUGAUGAGCAUACAAGCUGUUGAACAAAUAUAUACUGCUAUUUGCUGGUGGAGAAAAAUAGUUUGCUGUUUUACAGGUCAUUUACAACCUACUUAAAUUUCAGAAGACAUAUACACACAGAGUCACGCCUGCCCUCUAAGGGUUCUCUGCUAGCUGGCCUGGUCACAACAGUGUUGCACAAUUGCUGUGGGAUGUUGUUCUGUAUGCUGUGAAUGUGUGUUGCUCUGAUUGAUUGAUAAAUAAAAUGCU